rnacentral:misc_RNA from 1 species
GAAAUGCGAUAAUUAAUGUGAAUUGCAGAAUUCAGUGAAUCAUCGAGUCUUGGAACGCACAUUGCGCCCCCUGGUAUUCCGGGGGGCAUGCCUGUCCGAGCGUCAUUGCUGCCCUCAAGCACGGCUUGUGUGUUGGGCUUCCGUCCCUGGUAACGGGGACGGGCCCAAAAGGCAGUGGCGGCACCAUGUCUGGUCCUCGAGCGUAUGGGGCUUUGUCACCCGCUCCCGUAGGUCCAGCUGGCAGCUAGCCUCGCAACCAAUCUUUUUAACCAGGUUGACCUCGGAUCAGGUAGGGAUACCCGCUGAACUUAAGC